GGGGGAUAUUGCACAAUGGAGGAAACUCUGAUGCAGCAACGCCGCGUGAGGGAAGAAGGUCUUCGGAUUGUAAACCUUUGUCCUUGGUGACGAAACAAAUGACGGUAGCCAAGGAGGAAGCUCCGGCUAACUACGUGCCAGCAGCCGCGGUAAUACGUAGGUGGCAAGCGUUGUCCGGAUUUACUGGGUGUAAAGGGUGCGUAGGCGGCUCUGCAAGUCAGGUGUGAAAACCAUCGGCUUAACUGAUGGACUGCAUUUGAAACUGUGGAGCUUGAGUGGGGUAGAGGCAGACGGAAUUCCCGGUGUAGCGGUGAAAUGCGUAGAGAUCGGGAGGAACACCAGUGGCGAAGGCGGCCUACUGGGCUUUAACUGACGCUGAAGCACGAAAGCAUGGGUAGCAAAC
rnacentral:rRNA from 1 species